CCCCUGUCUAUAGUCACAUUUUUUUCUCUCAAUUGAUGCUUAAAAUUAUUUUGCAAGUUGGAAAAAAAUGCAAUUUUACUUUCAUUUGCACCAAAUUUAAUAGAUUAAUUAGGAGAGAAUAGAUCUCUUUAAAAUUGAGUCAUCUUAUCCAACUGCAAGUUUUAACUGAGGUGUUACCAGCUUAAGAAGUGAGACAUAUUAAAUGCUUCAAUACCUGACAUUUCUAUAUCAAUCCAAAUUCUUGUGCUUGUUUCUCAUUUCUGUGGACUUCGUUCUUCAAAAGUACUGCAUGUUUCAUAAGCAAGGACCAAAGAGACUUUGUCUACAGGUGGUGAACAUGUGUACAAGAGGAUCAUCAAUACCUUCUGCGGUGGUACCAUGCACAGAAUAAUGACUCAAUUGCUGUCAUUUAUUUCCCCUUUUUGAAGCUCAUUGCAUCUUUAUAUCUCAAAAGGCACAAGUUUUAUAUAUGUAUCACCAGGAAUAGAAGUGGUCUGCUUUUUGGCAAGU